UCCACCAAGUCCAGGGUUUUUUCUCUAGCACGUGAUGAAGCAUUGCAGGCUCUAAGGAUACAGUACCUCCUGCCUGCAAAUCCUUUAUCAGGAACUAUGACAAAGGAGCAACUUCGUCAAAGAAAGGUCUGCCAAUCACAUUUUGAGGAUAAAUAAAUCUAAAACAAUCUAUUGGUUAUGACAAUGAUGAAUGGAUGUCCUAUUUUUUAUUUAUCCAUGAAGAAAAUAAUAACAUCUCGGCGACCAUCCAAGCUGUUGCUGAUCAGGUCAUCCAGUAAGUUAAACUGCUAAUAGAGAUAACUUCAAUUCAAUGUUGUUGCCAGAUAAUGCUGUGAGUGAAGAAACUAUAUCCUGCCAUCUACAUCAGAGCCACAUCUGUCAUUAUGGAUAAUAUUAUUGCUGCGUCCUAAGGUUCAGCUUGCAAAUAAACCCAUCAAGCAGAGGCGGUACACACAAACAAAAGGUGGACUCUUUGGUUUUUUUAAAACGGAGCCCGAAAGCGUAUGUGCUAUUGCGCCACA